GAUUGAGGUUAUAUGAAUACAUGCUUUACAGUUUCAAACUCGUUCUCUCAUCAUAAUGUCUACAAACCAUAGUGAUAAUAUAAACAACAAAAACUAAAA